rnacentral:lncRNA from 1 species
AACUGGGGUGCAGCUGAGCGCCCUGCUCUCUGGAAAGCUGCAGCUGGGGUGCAGCUGAGGUGCAGCUGAGCGGUGACAAUGCUGAUGUGGAAAAAUUAGGUCUUUUUAGGCCUAAAACGCGAGGGGCUUGGGAUCUUUUUGCACCCAGACUCGUUUUCUCUUGUUUUGGAGCUCUUGGAGGCAGCUUGGAGCUGUGGAAUCACU